rnacentral:ribozyme from 1 species
UUUGAAAGAAAAAAAAAAAACAGAAAAAGAAAGAAAAAGAAAAAAAAAUUAUGGAGAGUUGUUCAGCCUCUUUGUUAUGCUGUUCUUGUUUU